rnacentral:misc_RNA from 1 species
GUCACUCUCCCUCCUUCUCCUCUCUUCCAUUUAGGGUUUUGUUCUUGAUUUUGGUGCUUCAUCUGCCUCUUUUGAGCAGAAGAUAGGAUCCUGAUAUGGCUGAAGAAGAAACAAAUGGAGCAGCAGCAGAGGGUCUGCCACCUCCUCCCCCUGUUCCACCAGAUUUCACUCCUGCUAAAACUGAAAUUGAGCCUGUGAAGAAAAAGAUCUUGCGCGUUCCCAUGGCCAGGCGUGGUGUUGGAAAUAAGGGACAAAAGAUUCAAAUACUUACUAAUCACUUUAAAGUGAAUGUAAACAAUGUGGAUGGACACUUCUUCCACUACAGUGUUGCCUUAUUCUAUGAAGAUGGUCGACCAGUUGAUGGGAAGGGAGUUGGAAGGAAGGUGUUAGACACAGUGCACGAAACUUAUGAUACAGAAUUAGCUGGAAAGGACUUUGCCUAUGAUGGUGAAAAAAGCUUGUUUACCAUUGGAGCACUCCCUAGGAAUAAAAUGGAGUUCACUGUUGUCCUUGAUGACGUGAUAUCAAAUAGGAACAAUGGUAACAGCAGCCCCGGUGGGCAUGGUAGUCCUAAUGAAGCUGACAGGAAGAGGUUACGUCGUCCUUACCAGUCAAAAACUUUCAAGGUGGAGAUCAGUUUUGCUGCCAAAAUCCCGAUGCAGGCGAUUGCAAAUGCUCUGCGUGGUCAAG